UAACAGUACCGGGCGCUUAGCGUCUGAUAAUUAGAAUGAGUACAAUCUAAACCCCUUAAUAAAAGAUCAAUCCAUUGGAGGGCAAGUCUGGUGCCAGCAGCCGCGGUAAUUCCACUAA
rnacentral:ncRNA from 1 species